AUAUUAUAAAAAAAUUGAAAGUGGGUGUGGUUUGUAAAUUUGGGGGGUGCAAAUUUCACCCCCCUAGAUUUACAGCACUUUAGACAAAGACCCCGACAAAAUAAAAUGGAACUCUUCCCUUUGCAAGUUUUGUUAUUCCCUCCUAUUCACACUACACAAAUAGAGACCAGCAGCGAACACCAGGAUAACACCUCUCCUCUUAGCGCUUAGCCAUAGAAACACCUCAGUCAACAAGGGAUAGCAGUUUUUACAAUUUAACAAUAAUUCACUCCAUCCCAAAUUUGUAAGCACAUGGGUAGUGUAAAAAGAUGUUUGCUGACUUUGGUCAAUUCACACACUGUUUUAUACAAUAACACGUACUGCAGAGAAAAUGAAAAAGUACAGGACCUCCUCUAUUGAAGCAUAUCUCAUGUAUGGGUCUUCUCAGAUGCUACUUCUGCAAAUUUUCAGUCAAAUUGGAAAUUUUCACCAGAAGUCUGCACUUUGGCAAUUUGUGUGGCAAUUUGUGCAUCUGAAGUUACCAAUAAUUUACCAUGUGUUUUGUAAUCAGUAUAAGCAUCCAUGAUUUCGGUGAUAUUUUGAAUAAUCCAAAGUAUCGCUACAUUCACCAUCAUUUAUAAUUUCAACCUUGCAAACUCUCUCAUUUAUAUUUACCAUCAUCUAUCUAUCUACCUAUCUAUCUAUCUAAUAAUUGUGUGUACUCAUGGAUGCACUUGUCAGAUGCACUCUUUUCAUAUGUUUUUAUAUCUUCAUAAUCAAUAUAUCCUGCAAUAUUGUAGCCAAAUGUUUGUGUGUGUUCAUAUACAUAUAUUCAAUAUCAUUAUGUUUGUUGGUUUAUCACGAUUCCAAAAGCUUGAGCUAAUACAACAUGUUGACAGAUUACAUGAGCAAAUUAAUGACACUUUUACCCUGUUUUGCAGUACAUCGGCUCUUGGUAAAGGAAUGUCAACUAAAGAGAGAAGGAAAUUAAAGCACGAGCUGCAGUCCCUAAAGAUGGAGGACAUAUCUUCAUUUAUGGAAUCUUUGCCAUCUGACUUCCUCACAAUAUUGCGUACAGAGUAAGCUAUGAGCACAACCUCAGCUCUCUUUAUAAGAUGCUGUGAUACUUUUCACAUCCUUUACUCUUGUAUCUUUCUCUCUAUAUUCAGUGGACUAUUGAGGUCUAUUGCUAGUAAGUUGGGCGAUUGACAAAGAGUCAGGAUACUAGCCUAUGCCAAAUAUGCACUAUAUGGUCUUUCCCCAAAGUUGAAUCCAGAAUCUGACAAUGCUAUUAAAGUAAAGUUCUCACAAUUGACAGCAUAUGUGAGUUACCUUCAGUUAAGGCUUAUUCUUGAGGUCCUAGAGCUGCUUUCUUGGAUAGCAAAGGUCAAGCAGCUUCUAUUUAAUUUUUAUGAAAAGAACGGUGGCGCCCUGGUGCUGUGAGGGAAAUCUUGAUUUUUUUGAAUGAUCUCAACCUAUAAAGGAGGUGUUUUGUUCAUGAGAUUUCUCAAAUUUGUGUCUUGUUUAUUCUGUGUGACAAGUCCAUCUCUUUAAAAGGG